GCAGCAUCUCAUGUCUCAGGAUUAAGCCAUGCAUGUCUAAGUAUAAAUGCUAUUUAUCUUAAAACUGCAGAUGGCUCAUUAAAUCAGUUAUAAUUUAUUUGAUGAUUACCUUACUACAUGGAUAACCGUGGUAAUUCUAGGGCUAAUACAUGCUUAAAAGGGAGACUCUUGCGGGGAUCUCUGUGUUUAUUAGACUAAAAACCAAUGCGGCUUUCAGCCGGUUUUUCGGUGAUUCAUAAUAACCUUUCGAAUCGCAUGGCCUUCGUGCUGGCGAUAGAUCAUUCAAAUUUCUGCCCUAUCAGCUUUCGACGGUAGAGUAGUGGCCUACCGUGGCAUUAACGGGUGACGGAGAAUUAGGGUUCGAUUCCGGAGAGGGAGCCUGAGAAACGGCUACCACAUCUAAGGAAGGCAGCAGGCGCGCAAAUUACCCAAUCCUGACACAGGGAGGUAGCGACAAGAAAUAGCAAUACUAGACCUUUUAUGGGUCCGGUAAUUGGAAUGAGUACAAUUUAAAAAACUUAACGAGUAUCAAUUGGAGGGCAAGUCUGGUGCCAGCAGCCGCGGUAAUACCAGCUCCAAUAGUGUAUAUUAAUGUUGCUGCAGUUAAAAAGCUCGUAGUCGAAUGUCUGACUUGUCAAACUCGAACUAUCCUUUACUAAAGGAUACGUCUCGAAUUGUUUGCGAGUCAUCAUUCUGGAAAGUGCUUCUGCCCUUGAUUGGGUUGGUUGUACGAUCCAGAACAUUUACUGUGAGCAAAUGGGAGUGUUCAAAGCAAGCUUUUAGCUAUGCCUGAACCGUUUAGCAUGGAAUAAUAAAAUAUAACUUAGGUUUUAUUUUGUUGGCUUGCUAAAACCCAAGUAAUGAUCGAAAGGGAUGGUUUGGGGGUGCUCAUAUUCAUGGGGUAGCGGUGAAAUGCGAUGAUCCUCUGAAGAUGAACUAAUGCGAAAGCAUUCACCAAGGGACAUUUUCUUUGAUCAGAACGAAAGUUGGGGGAUCGAAGACGAUCAGAUACCGUCGUAGUCUCAACUAUAACGAUGCCAACUAGUAAUUGGCGAUCGUCGUCUACCAUGACUCCGUUCAGCGACUUCAGAGAAUCAAGUCUCUGGGAUCUGGGGGGGAGUAUGGGUCGCAAGGCUGAACUAAGAUGACGACGACGCACCAGAGUGGAGCCUGCGCUUAUUUGACCUCAACCACGGGGAACCU
rnacentral:rRNA from 1 species